UACCAGCACCCCGAGUGGUCGGGACGAUUAUUGGGCCUAAAGCAUCCGUAGCCGGUUUUACAAGUCCUCCGUUAAAUCCAACUGCUUAACAGAUGGGCCGCGGAGGAUACUAUAAGACUAGGAGGCAGGAGAGGCAAGCGGUACUCAGUGGGUAGGGGUAAAAUCCGUUGAUCCAUUGAAGACCACCAGUGGCGAAGGCGGCUUGCCAGAAUGCGCUCGGCGGUGAGGGAUGAAAGCUGGGGGAGCAAACCGG
rnacentral:rRNA from 1 species